GUUUUAAGCAUGCAAGUCGGACGGUAGUCGUAGCAAUACGAUGAGAGUGGCGCACGGGUGAGUAACACGUAGGUGAUCUACCUUUGGGUGGGGGAUAGCCCAUGGAAACAUGGGGUAAUACCGCAUGAGGCCUUGGGAGUAGAGUCUUAAGGUUAAAGGAGCAAAUGUUCCGCCUAUUGAUGAGCCUGCGGUCCAUUAGCUAGUUGGCGGGGUAAGAGCCCACCAAGGGUGAGAUGGAUAGCCGGCCUGAGAGGGUGUACGGCCACACUGGGACUGAGACACGGGCGAGACUCCUACGGGAGGCUCGUCAGUGGGAGGUUAUAGAAGUCUCCUACAUAUUUCAG
rnacentral:sRNA from 1 species